AAUCCAUGUUGUGGGCAUUGACGGAGUAGACUCUUGUAUCGUUUACAAUCUUCUGAAUAAUAUUUAAAAUCCAACCGUAUAAAUUUAGUAAUCUCAUAUCUUAUCUU
rnacentral:snoRNA from 1 species